rnacentral:lncRNA from 1 species
CCUGACUGGGUACCUCCUGCCCACGCACAGAAGUGACGAUGGAGCCAGGGGUCAGCUGUGUCCAUGUGCGGCUGGGGUGGGUGACACCAUCAUGGUGGGUGAAUGUCAGCACUCCCUGCAUGGGGUGACGAAACCAUCCCGUUCAUUUUGUUCUUGUGAUUGAUUAAAUCUGGCUUUUGUGGGCCCAUAAAAAGGGAGGCAAUGGGGCAACUCUGGUUUCAGUGCAGACGUGAACUGCCCCUGCAGGUGCUUCACCCCUGAGAAUUUCUGCUCAGUCACCUGCUGGGAACGGCUGUCCUGUGAUGCUGUGACACUGUGUCUGGGCCUGGCUACAGAGAAGGGGACCUGGGAGCACCAAACACACGUGGGGACUAUGGCCAGAAGCCACUGGGGAGCCUGGGCCAAUUCUGUCGCAGAAUAGUAAGACCUCUGAGGACGGUACCUCUGCCUGUGAUUUUAAUCGCUGUCACCCAGAUCGCCCAUCAGAGACUGCACGCGUUCCUCUCCGUGGUUCCUCCCGCUCUCGAAUAAUCCCUCUCAAGGUUUUACGUGUGUCAUCUGUAAGCCCCGUGUUGUUGGCUACGGUAACUCAUGGCAUGAAUGCAGUUGCCCAUCACGGUCUGAUUCUCAGCUUCGCCUGUGCACACUCGGAUCCACACAGCCUCACUGGUUGCGCUGUUUCACCCCCACCGAGGUCACAGACCCACACGUCCCCUCCUGUUGCAGAGCCCACGGGAUACCCACCCCUCCUGCAAUUCCCACCUGUCGCCUCCAUUUCCAGCAUGUUUAAGUGCUGUGAAAGUGGAAAGUCUAAAUGCCUUGGCCUCUUGGGCUGGGAGACAGGUGAGUGUCUGGUUGUAUGAGAAGUCCUGCGUGCCUGCCUCACCUGAUGGGCCACUAGCCAAGCAUGAGGGAACACCCUCACCAGGGACAGCAGUGUUGUCGCUGUUCUUUAUUUUAGCUGCUCUGGUAGGUGACCUCUUACCGCGGUUUCCAUGUGCAUUUCCCUGAGGGCUGGCCGUGUCCUUUUUACCAUCUGUGGAUCGUCUUCAGUGAAAUGCCUGUUCACGUCUUUCAUCCAAAAAAUUUGGGUUGUUUGCUUUAACAUUUAGUUUUGAAAGUUUUUUUUUUUUUUAAUAUAGUCUGGGUACAAUCCUUUGCGGGUUAUGGGUAGACAUUUUGUACUUCUCAGAUGGACUUUCACAAAAGCUUUUGAUUUUGACGUUGUCCAAUUUAUCAGCUUUUUUUUUCUUUAUAGGUAAGGCUGGUGUGUCAACCUAAUUCUUCUUGACUAGCCUAGACCUCGAAGAGUUUGUCUUUCUUUUCCUAAGAGUUUUGUACUUUACAUUUAACAUUUAAUCCCGGUAUUCAUUAAUUUUUGUGUGAGGUGUAUGCUUUAGGUCAAGAUUUAUAAUUUUUGCAUAUGGGUGUCGAGUGACCCCAGCACCAUUUGUUGAAAAUACUUUCUGCCACAGAGUUCUUUUCGCAUCUUUGUCAGAAAUAAAUUCAGCAUAUCUGUGUGGGUCUGUAUUUGG